AAAAAUUAAAUACUGAGUUCUAGGAAAGUAGAGGAGAUCAAAGUUGACCAAAAGUAAAAACUAAGUAGUACUGUGAAGGAAAUCUAAGCAAAGAGUAAGAGUAGUAAAGUUGAGUGCGUACCUUUUGUAUCAUGGCUUAGCUAGAGUGUAUAUCUAUAUAGAUGUUCUCGAAACUCUAAGAGUUACCUCUAUCUCCUGUUUUAGUAGGACUCCUUGUAGGUGUGGCAAAAUCUUAGGUAAAGAUAGAGGUGGCAAUAAAAUUUUAUACGGUUAGAGUGAUAGCUAGUUCCUUUUAAAAUGUAUAUAGUACAGGCGUUUAGGUUGUUUAGAAGAAACUCACACAGUUUUCUUUCUAAACCGGUAGGCGGCUCAUUUUAUAAAAGAUUAGUUUUAUAAGUAUGAAGAACUCAAAAUUGCUUUUUACUUUAACUUAGCCCUGGGUUUAGAAGUGGCCGUGGAUAACAGUGUGUUAUAAGAGAUAGGAUAUUGUUUUGAAAAAUAGAUUUGUGUCCCAAGAUAACGAGGUAUUGCCUGGAAAGAUUGUAGGGCUAUAAAGAAUGCUAAGAUGAGUAAUGAAGAAUAAUACGUAGGUGUUGAGAUAAUAUAGAUGUAGACACGGACAAAAAGAAGCAUAUAGAAGUAAGCCCCGGGAAGGAACUCGGCAAACCUAUUUUCCGCCUGUUUCGCAAAAACAUGGCUCUGUGCUGUGCCAAGAUGCAGAGUCGGACCUGCCCACUGGAGCUAUAUCUAAAUGGCCGCGGUACUUUGACCGUGCAAAGGUAGCAUAAUCAUUUGUCUAUUCAUUGUAGACUGGAAUGAAUGGUUUGACGUGAAAAUAGCUGUCUCCCUUGGUUUGUAGUGAAGUUAACUUUUAGGUUAAAAGGCCUAUAUAGAAUAAGAGGACGAGAAGACCCUAAUUGAGCUUAUCCCAAAACUAGGGCGAAGUAAUUCUAGGAAAUGGGUUUAGUUGGGGCGACAGAGGAACCGUGCAGGCUUCCUUGAAAAAAAUUAAUAUACAAAGACCCAACUGAUGUAAAGCAUUGUUGAUUAACGAUAAAGUUACCAUAGGGAUAACAGCAUUAUAUAUCUUGAGAGUUCCUAUCGACAGAUGUGUUUGUGACCUCGAUGUUGGACUAGAAUAUCCUAGGGGUGUAGUAGCUCCUGAAGGUUGGUCUGUUCGACCAUAAAAAUUCU
rnacentral:rRNA from 1 species